AGCGAACGCUGGCGGCAGGCUUAACACAUGCAAGUCGAACGCCCGUAGCAAUACGGGAGUGGCAGACGGGUGAGUAACGCGUGGGAACAUGCCCUUUGGUUCGGAAUAACUAAGGGAAACUUGAGCUAAUACCGGAUAAGCCCGAGAGGGGAAAGAUUUAUCGCCGAAGGAGUGGCCCGCGUCCGAUUAGCUAGUUGGUGAGGUAAUGGCUCACAAAGGCGACGAUCGGUAGCUGGUCUGAGAGGAUGAUCAGCCACACUGGGACUGAGACACGGCCCAGACUCCGACGGGAGGCAGCAGUGGGGAAUAUUGGACAAUGGGGGCAACCCUGAUCCAGCCAUGCCGCGUGAGUGAUGAAGGCCCUAGGGUUGUAAAGCUCUUUCGGCGGGGACGAUAAUGACGGUACCCGCAGAAGAAGCCCCGGCUAACUUCGUGCCAGCCGCCGCCGUAAUAC
rnacentral:rRNA from 1 species